CUAGGUGUAGACUAGGUGUAGACUAGGUGUAGACGAGGUGUUACAUGUGCGGAAGGGGAGGUGUCAUGCAAACGCACGGAAUGCCCGGGACACAAGCUACUAAAUGCUGUUAUGAGCGAGGACCUAGGAAGAAUAAGUCCUCGGCCUCGACGAAGUCCCGCAAUGAAGAUGGUAAAUUAUACAAAUGGUCAAAAUUCAUAACUGUUAGUUGACUUACAAUUUUGUUUCACAAAAAAGGAAAAAGUGAAUAGCACAAGUAUUAUAGCAUUGGCCAUUAACUGCAUUAAAGGGAGUACCAAUAAAAGGAAUGAUUACACAGUAAUACCAAUAAAAUAAACCUGUAUCGUUCUACUGUUUAAUAUUGAUAAUUAUAAAAUACACUUUAGGAAACAUUGAAAUCCCAUUGUUAUUUCGUACUGCAGGAUGUUCAGUAGUUUCUUCAUAUUGGACAUGCAUAUUGGCGUCAUUGUAAAUAAGAAUUAGUUCUUUACCGACUUGCCUGGUUAAAAAAAAAAUGGCAUCUUACAAAAUGUCUAUGUUGUGUCAUAGUAAAAGGGGGAAGGGGUCCAUGUGUAGACUCAAGGACCAGAGGAGCCAAGGUAGGUGGGAAUGAGCAGGACCCACGGUUGGAGAAAAACAAUUAUUCAAUUGAUUUCCGAUUAAAUAUUUCAGGAUACAUGGCUUGUCUUGAAAUACAGUUGUCCACAGCAGUCCGUAACACUCAGGACACAAAAAUUACCAUUUAGGUUUGAACAUUUUUUUUAAUAAACUAAUAUCUUGUAGAAAUACUUUUAUUUGUAUUAUAAGAAGUAUAAUAUAUGUUCCAUAAUUAUUAAAUAACAAAAAUAAAAGGACAGGAUUUAUUCUGAACCGUUCCAAAAGUCCGUGACCCGGAAGUACUUUGUUAUUCUUGCCUGCUUCACAAUGGCGUUUAUUACCAAUGAUUGCCUGUUAUAUUGACAAGCUAUUCGAGUGACUGGAAAUACAUGUCCUCAAAGAUGGAAGGCAGGCGGGACCAUUCUAUCCAAUGAAACGGCAGAUACGCUGUGAACCACAGACCAUUGAGAUACAGGACUGACCUUUGUGUCCUUGCUAUAUUAAUUAACGUCUGUGACAACAUUUUAAAGUAGUUAAUUUUCUUCAUUGGCUGAUCGCUCCCAACGCAUGAAAACCCACCCAGUUGACUACUUUAAAAAUAAGGAAGCGCUCAAUGGCAAUGUCCAUGCUAAAACUGGUGAUAUCCAUGAUUAUCCCUUAUAUCUCUAUGACAACGGGCACAACUCCAAUAUAACGUACAUUGUUUUUCUCCAAAGUUGCCGGAAGGCCACAUGUGUGUCCACCUAUUAUCAGUGCAUUCGUAACAACUUAAUCAUUAUGAAACUUGAAUUCGAUCAAAUAAGCCUCAAGUAACAAAUGAGCAAUAAACAACAACCCCCUCCUCUCUCUCUCACUUCGUGGCCUUAUUGCAACGACCCUGUGUAAUAUUAGUGUUGGAGUAAAACCUCUCGCUUCGCCUCUUCCUCUCUGACACCAUACAGACUGGCGCUCAGACUAACUCCCCACAGAAGACCAUCCAGGUGGAAGUUGUUAGUUUAUAGCGACAAUGUUGUUGAUGGUUGGUUGGUUUGUUGGUUGUCUAGUCACGCUAUUUGUGGCGCAGGUCGCGGAGCCACACUGAAACAUCCUCUUUGAUAUUGGUACCAUGGUUUAAAAUGUCCGACUGACCAACUCACUGCUUCAACAUGGAUCCCAUCUUAUUUAGCUACAGAGGAACAAAUGCAACAUCGCAAACAGAUCCCAGGUGUGACAAGAAAAGACUGUGGAAUAACAGGCGGAACAGCCAUUCGUUCCACCCUGCCUCUGUUCACCCGGGGAGGAGGGUGGCGGUGGGGGCCGUAUGCUAGUGAAUAGGAAGAUGGAGACUGGGGAUAUAUGGUGAGUGUCAAUAAGAGUAAGUGACAAUCCAUGUCUUAUGAAGGAGGUGAAAUGUGACGAAAUCGGCUACAACAGUUAGGACAGGUCAGUGGUAGCCUGAUCCCAGAUCUGCUUGGACAGGUCAGUGGUAGCCUGAUCCCAGAUCUGCUUGGACAGGUCAGUGGUAGCCUGAUCCCAGAUCUGCUAGGACAGGUCAGUGGUAGCCUGAUCCCAGAUCUGCUUGGACAGGUCAGUGGUAGCCUGAUCCCAGAUCUGCUAGAACAGGUCUGUGGUAGCCUGAUU